rnacentral:rRNA from 1 species
UACGGAGGGGACUAGCGUUGUUCGGAAUUACUGGGCGUAAAGCGCACGUAGGCGGAUUUGUAAGUCAGGGGUGAAAUCCCGGGGCUCAACCUCGGAACUGCCUUUGAUACUGCAAAUCUCGAGUCCGGAAGAGGUGAGUGGAAUUCCUAGUGUAGAGGUGAAAUUCGUAGAUAUUAGGAAGAACACCAGUGGCGAAGGCGGCGAUCUGGGAAGAUACUGACGCUGAGGUGCGAAAGCGUGGGGAGCAAACAGG